rnacentral:rRNA from 1 species
CCCGCUGAACUUAAGCAUAUCAAUAAGCGGAGGAAAAGAAACUAACAAGGAUUCCCCUAGUAACUGCGAGUGAAGCGGGAAAAGCUCAAAUUUAAAAUCUGGUGGCCUUUGGCCAUCCGAGUUGUAAUUUAGAGAAGCGUCCUCCGCGCUGGACCGUGCACAAGUCUCCUGGAAUGGAGCGUCAUAGAGGGUGAGAAUCCCGUCUUUGGCACGGACUCCCGGUGCUUCUGCGAUGCGCUCUCAACGAGUCGAGUUGUUUGGGAAUGCAGCUCAAAAUGGGUGGUGAACUCCAUCUAAAGCUAAAUACUGGCGAGAGACCGAUAGCGAACAAGUACCGUGAGGGAAAGAUGAAAAGCACUUUGGAAAGAGAGUGAAACAGUACGUGAAGUUGUUGAAAGGGAAACGCUUGAAGUCAGUCGCGUUGACCGAGACUCAGCCUUGCCUUGGCUUGGUGUGCUUCUCGGCUCGACGGGUCAGCAUCAAUUUCGAUCCUCGGAUAAUGGCAAGGGAAAGGUAGCACCUUUUUAGGUGUGUUAUAGUCCUCUGUCGCAUGCGAGGGUCGGGAUUGAGGAACUCAGCAUGCGCCUCUGGGUGCCGGGGCCUUGGGGCCCACGUUACGUGCUUAGGAUGCUGGCAUAAUGGCUUUAAACGACCCGUCUUGAAACACGG